rnacentral:rRNA from 1 species
CAGCCGCCGCGGGAAUACGAAGGGUGCAAGCGUUAAUCGGAAUUACUGGGCGUAAAGCGUGCGCAGGCGGUUUGUUAAGACAGAUGUGAAAUCCCCGGGCUCAACCUGGGAACUGCAUUUGUGACUGGCAAGCUAGAGUGUGGCAGAGGGGGGUGGAAUUCCGCGUGUAGCAGUGAGAUGCGUAGAUAUGCGGAGGAACACCGAUGGCGAAGGCAGCCCCCUGGGCCAAUACUGACGCUCAUGCAUGAACGCGUGGGGAGCAAACAGGAUUAGAUACCCCCGUAGUCCCUGUCUCUUAUAC